rnacentral:lncRNA from 10 species
UGGAACUCCACUUAGCAGCUAAAGUUCAUCCUCUGAAGUCUGGGAAGUCCAAGCUCAAGGUGAAGCCUCCUCAGGUGGCAAAGAGCAGAAGCACAAAAGAGACCAAACUCCCUCCCUCAAGCUCUUUUACAAGAACACUGAGACAUUCACAAGUGCUGAGUCCUCAAACCUACUAACCUCCUGAAGGCUACACCUCAAAUACGGAUUGAAUUUUCGCAUGAGUUUUGAGGGACACCCAUUCAAAGCAUAGCACCCUUCGGCUUCAGAGAAGCUCCAGCCCUGUUGUCACCAAGCAGGUUCCCCCUAGGCAGAGCGCCAAGAAGCAGCCCAGGCGAUCCCAAGGCGCACAAGUGCUCUCACCAGGCUGCGCGCUGGCGGGUCGGUGCACAGGGACGGGGUCGCCGCCCACGCGCGCUUGGUUCAGGGAGCCCAGGCUGUCCCUACCCGCGGCUACAAAAGCUCGCCGAGUCUUCCUGUCCACCCAAUCGCCCCACAUGUCAGCGGUUGGUCGCCUCGCGGUGCAGUGCUGGGCACGCGAGCCCCUCCCGCAGUCAUUCUCAGCACAAGCACCAGCCUGGAGCCCCGCAGCGACAGAGCUGAGAGCCCCCAAGCCGCAGAGGUCGUGCGGAGCAGGUUGCAAAUGUCUUAGAAACACACUCCUGGACCACAGCUUCAAGAGACGCAAGCAGUCACCUCAUCUGCUGGUUUCCAAGCUGCCCUGCCAGAAGCAGGUCAGGGGUCCCACAGGGGUCCUCAGUAACUCCUCAAAAUCCUCUCCCAUCAAUGGCCCCACCAGAUCAUCCCUACUUUUGAAUGCUUGUCCAAUGCAGGUUCCAGGUUGGUCUAAUUGAAGGCAAUGGAGAAGUAAGUCUUUAUGGAUCAAAAUCUUAGCUCUAGAAAAGUUGCCCUUGGCUAUAAAGCCUGAAGUGGGUGUUGGAGUAGUCAACGACUAACCCAGGAUGGAUUUGUGCCAAUACACAAGUGACAACAUCUUUCACAGCUGAAGAGUCGGAGGAUAAAGCCAUGCCCACAGAUCGUUGUCACACAGAUUUGAUUAAGUGAAACAAAGCCCCAGCUGCUGGAGCAGAGGUUCCACUUGGGUUCCACAGACACCCACAGCCCAAAUCCCUGGAGGCCUAAGGCAAUAGCUAAUUGAGACUAUGCAUCACUAUUAAGGCAUCUUCACUAAAGGGCGCUGUGGAAACGCUGCCUGAGAUGCAGACACCUGUCAGAAGGGGGCUAAAUUUCAAACAAGGAACGUGGUGUUGCAUCACAAUAAAAACAGAAGAAACACACGUGUUCUUGUGUGUAAACCCAGUCCAUGGAAGAGACCGUCUGCUUGUCCCUCCUGAUCUCUGGGCCCAGACAACCAGUAGUCACCAUUCCAAGUGAGGGGUGGCUGCAACUCUACAGCCCCGUUCGUCUCUCCUCACUGUCAAAGCUGCUGAGACCCCAGACUCGACACUUGAAAGAAACCCAUGUCUGUGAAGCACUUGUGGACCAUUCAAGAUUGUGGAAGAAUCACUCAAGAGAAGGAGAUAGGUGAUGGGAUCUAGCUUCUGAUGGUUUCUAUUUUAUUGAAUGUCUAAUAGGGCAAGAAUUUGAAAAACGAGAAUGUUUGCCAUGCAGGAGGACCUGGGAAGGAGAUAACACAUUUACAGGGAGAAAGAUUGGGAUUCAGUUGGGAGGAGUAACUGAGGAAAGGGGUCACUCAAAAUAUUUUGUAUUUUAGGUCCUUUUUCUAUUAAGGAGGAAUGGAUUAUCAAAGCCUUAACAUUAAAUUGUAUUGUGUCAGGUGAAUUGCUAUGGUUUGAAUGUGGUGUGUCCCCCUCCCAAACUCACAUUGAAUUUUUUUUUUUUUUUUUGAGACGGAGUCUCGCUCUGUUGCCCAGGCUGGAGUGCAGUGGUGCGAUCUUGGCUCACUACAAGCUCUGCCUCCCGGGUUCAAGAGAUUCUCCUGCCUCAGCCUCCCGAGUAGCUGGGAUUACAGAUGUUCGUCACCACACCUGGCUAAUUUUUGUAUUUUUAAUAGAGAUGGGGUUUCACUAUGUUGGCUAGGCUGGUCUCAAACUCCCGACAUCAGGUGAUCCACCCACCUCGGCCUCCCAAAGUGCUGGGAUUAGAGGAGUGAGCCACUGCACCCAGCCUCACGUUGAGGUUUAAUUGCCAUUGUAACAGUAUAAAGAUGUGGGACCUUUACGAGGUGAUUAGGCAAUGAGGACUCUGCCCUCAUGAAUGGAUUAAUGCUGUUAUCAUGGGAGUGGAUUCCUUAUAAAGGGACACGUUCAGCACCCCCUUGCUCUCUCUCUCACCUUCCGCCAUAUGAUGAUGGGGCACAAAGGCCAUCAUCAGAUGUUGGCCCCUUGUUCUCGAACUUCCCAACCUCCAGAGCAGUAAAAAAAUAAAUCACUGUUCUUUAC